rnacentral:rRNA from 1 species
ACGGGAGGCAGCAGUGGGGAAUGUUGGACAAUGGGGGAAACCCUGAUCCAGCGACGCCGCGUGAGUGAAGAAGUAUUUCGGUAUGUAAAGCUCUAUCAGCAGGGAAGAUAAUGACGGUACCUGACUAAGAAGCUCCGGCUAAAUACGUGCCAGCAGCCGCGGUAAUACGUAUGGGGCAAGCGUUAUCCGGAUUUACUGGGUGUAAAGGGAGCGUAGACGGCAUAGCAAGUCUGAUGUGAAAGGCCGAGGCUCAACCUCGGUACUGCAUUGGAAACUGGUAAACUAGAGUGUCGGAGGGGUAAGUGGAAUUCCUAGUGUAGCGGUGAAAUGCGUAGAUAUUAGGAGGAACACCAGUGGCGAAGGCGGCUUACUGGACGAUAACUGACGUUGAGGCUCGAAAGCGUGGGGAGCAAACAGGAUUAGAUACCCUGGUA